UCCGGUUUGUCACCGGCAGUCUCCCUAGAGUGCCCAGCUUAACCUGCUGGCAACUAAGAUCAAGGGUUGCGCUCGUUGCGGGACUUAACCCAACAUCUCACGACACGAGCUGACGACAGCCAUGCAGCACCUGUGUUCCCGUUCCCUUUCGGGCACAGCCCCCUUUCAGGGGCCUCCAGGACAUGUCAAGGGUAGGUAAGGUUUUUCGCGUUGCAUCGAAUUAAUCCACAUAAUCCACCGCUUGUGCGGGUCCCCGUCAAUUCCUUUGAGUUUUAACCUUGCGGCCGUACUCCCCAGGCGGGGUGCUUAAUGCGUUAGCUACGGCACGGAACGGGUCGAUCCCCGCCCCACACCUAGCACCCAUCGUUUACGGCUAGGACUAC
rnacentral:misc_RNA from 1 species